rnacentral:lncRNA from 1 species
GGAGGAUUUGUGCCGCGCGCAACAACUGCGGCUUUUUCUGUUUCUCUUCUCUUUAUUCUGCCGGAUAGCCAGGAUCCGUUACAUGCAAAACCAAUCCGCGGUUUACCAGCUCAACUACUGAACGUGCCAUCCCACGAUCCGAGCUAGCCGCGAUCUAAUCUACGUGCAGAAAGACAGCUAACAACCUGACAGAUAAGCUGACCAGGUGUUACAAAAGCAAACGGCACUUAUACAUCGUGCCUGUACAGAAGAUGCAAAAACAGAUUAGCAACUUAUUUUGUAGCAAACUGAUAGACCCAGGCGCAUCAAGUUAAGUUCAACAUAUCACCCCCUAACCUUGAUGCCCUCUUUUACCUCCUGGACGCCAAUCUUCUCCCUCAUCUCAAGGAAUUUCAGACGACCAAGAGGCUUAGUGAGAAUGUCUGCCAGCUGCUCCUCGGUGCUGACAUGCUUCACUUCUAUCUUGUUCUCCUCCACGCACUCACGUAUGUAAUGAUACCGAGUGUCAAUGUGCUUGCUUCUAUCGUGGAGGACAGGAUUGUGACACAGAGCAAUAGCUGAUUUAUUGUCUACAUUCAAAGUUACCUUCUGGGUUGCUUGUUUCUUCAGUUCCCCAAGCAAGCGGCUGAGCCAAAUUCCUUGACAUGCAGCCGUCGAGGCAGCAAUAUAUUCAGCCUCACACGAAGACAAUGCAACUAUCUUUUGCUUCUGCGAUGCCCAAGUGACCAGAUUACUUCCCAGAAAGUACACCAUGCCGGAAGUGCUUCUCCGGUCAUCGAUGUCACCAGCUAAGUCACUGUCAGAGAAUCCCUCCAACUUCGCUUCAGAGUCACCAUUCUUUGCAUACACACACCCAUAGCCGACUGUACCUUUUACAUAUCUCAAAAUGUGUUUAACAGCAGCCAUAUGCUGAGUGGUCGGCGACUCCAUGAACCUACUGACGAUGCCAACUGAAUAUGCAAUGUCAGGACGUGUAUUCACCAAGUAGCGCAGGCUUCCCACCACACUGUGGUACUCAGUCGGGUCAACGGGAGGAUCACUGCUCUUCUUGCUCAGUUUCAGACGAUUCUCCAUUGGAGUUGCGCAAGCAUUGCACUCUCCCAUGCCAAAAUGCUCAAGUAUCUUCUGUGCAUAACCGGCCUGACAAACUGAGAUUCCAUUCUUGGACUGCUUCACUUCAACGCCCAAGUAAUAGCUAAGCUUUCCCAGGUCACUCAUACUAAAGAGUGCCUUCAUUUGGUCCUUGAAACCAUUAAUCACCUCCACCUCGGACCCUGUGAUGAUAAGAUCAUCAACAUACACGCCAACUAGCAGAUUCUUUUGCCCCUCUCUUCUGCGAUAGACCGCAUGUUCCAUGGGACAUUUCUCAAAACCAAGUGACAACAAUGUGUUGUCCAACUUAGCAUUCCAUGCACGAGGCGCUUGGCGCAACCCAUACAGAGCCUUGCUCAACCUCAACACUUUCCCUUCACGACAUGCACUUGGAAAACCUGGAGGUUGCUGAACAUACACUUCCUCGGCAAGAUCUCCAUUCAAGAAUGCUGACUUUACAUCCAUAUGAUGCACCUCCCAGCCUUCAUGAGCCGCUAAGGACAGCAGCACACGAACAGUUUCCAUCCUCGCAACAGGAGCAAAUACCUCAUCAAAAUCAACUCCAUGUCGCUGUGCAUAUCCCUUGGCCACAAGCCUCGCCUUAUACUUGACAAUGUCACCUUCGGAGUUCUUCUUUACUUUGUAAACCCAUUUCAGACCUAUGGCUUUGUGUCCCCUUGGAAGUACAUCUUCCUCCCAAGUUCUGUUCUCCAUGAUUGACUGCAUUUCAGUCUCCAUGGCUUCUCUCCAGGCUGGUAUCUUCAUAGCUUCCUCAACACCACUUGGUUCUUCGGCUGCAAGCAUGCAAAAACCAGAAUAUUCUGCAUGCACCUCGUUAGUUUCGUCAUAUAUUUCAUCCAAGGGCCGCAUCCCUUGCAGUCCAACAGAUGAGUACGAGGGUGGUGCGCCGGUGCUCGGCGCCGCUCCUGACGACACUCCCGCAGCUGCUGCAUCAAUGGCAGCUGCGUAGGUGUUGAAUGUGGGCGUCGCGCAGCCCACAUCCUUGCUCGCCGAAGAAGGUGACCCGGCCUCCUGCCAAGUCGAGACGCCGGCAUGCUUGCACGGCGCCCCUAGAGUCGAAGUAGUCGUACUGGGCCCUGCCGCAGAUCCUGCCGCGGCAGGAGUCUCAGCAGCUGCAGUCUCCUGCACUGCCUCGGCAGGGUUCUGCCGCGAUGCUGCCGCGGCAGGCAUCGUCGGCCACACAACAGUGAAUGUUGCAUCGCCGCCGUCUGUGUUGGACUCCUUCCCCUGCUCCCAGUUCCACCCCUUCUCCUCCUCAAACACGACGUCUCGUGUCACUGUCACCCGGUUCGAGGCAGGUUCCACGGCACGGUAUGCUUUGGCCGUGGGAUCAUAACCAAUGAAGACCAUCGGUCUACUCCGAUCUUCUAGCUUUUUCUGGUGAGGCUUAACAACUUUUACGUGAACAAUACAACCAAACGUACGUAAAUGUUGUACCUUGGGCUUCCUUGCGUGCCAGGCUUCAUAGGGAGUCUUGUCCUUGACACUCUUCGUGAUUGCACGAUUCAACAAGUACACCGCUGUCACGACUGCCUCACCCCAGAACCUGCCAGGCACGUUUCUAUUCUUCAACAAACUACGGGCCAUCUCAACGAUAGUCCGAUUCCUUCUCUCAGCGACACCAUUCUGUUGGGGCGAGUACGGUGACGUGAGAAAAUGCUUGAUGCCGAGCCCAUCGCAGUGCCUCCCGAAAUCACCAGAUACAAACUCACCCCCACGAUCAGUUCGUAGCGACAUGAGCUUGCUGCCACACUCCUUCUCGGCCCUUAUUUGUACUUUCUUCAGAGCCUCGAGUGCUUGAUCUUUACUGUUGAUCAACACAAUCCACAUAUACCGAGAAAAAUCAUCCACCAUCAACAGGAAGUACUUCUUGUUACCUGGGGUGGCCGGAGUGAUGGGUCCACACAAGUCCGCGUGCACAAGCUCAAGCGGUGCUGUUGCUCGAUAGCUCGCCACCUUCGGGAAUGGCAUGCGGUGCUGUUUUCCUGCCAAACAUGCUUCGCAUACCUGCUCUACAUGAUCAAUGUGUGGCAAUCCUUCAACCAUCUCCAGACGUGACAUGUCACGCAGCGCUCGGAAGUUCACAUGGCCGAAGCGCGCAUGCCACAGCCACUCCUUCUCCGAUCCCUUCACCAGUAAACACACUGGUUCGGCACGUGUGGUGUUCAGUACAUACAGCCUGGACCAGUUCCUCUUCACCUUUGCAAGUAAUCUUCCAUGAUCAUACAGCCAGAGAUAUCCAUGCACAAUGACCGUCUUCAGCCCAUUCUCAUCAAGCUGACCGAGGCUCACUAUAUUACUCUUCAAGCGAGGUAUGUAGUACACACCAGUGAGAAUAAGAUGCUCUCCAUUCAUGCAUUCAAACAGCACCUUUCCCCUCCCUCGGAUUUCGACAACUGAGCCGUCGCCGAAACGUACUUUGCCGCCGACUGACUCAUCAAGAUCAUGGAACAACUCCUUGCAACCAGACAUGUGGUUACUUGCCCCUGAAUCCAGGUACCAUGCAUCACGCUCGCGCAUUCCGACGAGCCGUGGCCUCACCUUCUCUUCGUUCAGCAACACAAUCUCAGUGGUACAGCUGGUUGGCUGCCGCGCGGCAGGAUACUCUGCCGCGGUAGCAAUCUGGCAGGGCUUCACGACAGGCUUCUCUGCCACGGGAGAAACUGGAUCCUCAAUCUUCUCUAUCAUCAUGAGAACUCCAUGGUCGCCGUCAUCCUGCUCGGCAUAGUGUGCACGUUCCCGCUUGGGCUCCUUGCACUCUGAGGCGAAAUGCCCCAUCUCAUCGCAGUUGAAGCACUUUAUCUUCGACUUAUCAAACUUGCGAUGCUUCUUCUGUGGCUUACCACGAUCAUUACCUUUGCCGUGCUGAGCUGGUGCACGGUCACGUCCGGUGUUGGCCUUCUUGCCGCCGGUACUCGAUGACGAUGCAUCAUUCACAAUCUUCUUGCCCUUCAGCAGUGACUCGAGUGCCUUGGAAACGAGCAUCAGCUGCUCGUCGCCGGUGCCGCGCAUGUCUUGGCUGUCUUCUUCAUUUUCCUCGAACGCGCGCAGGCGGCCGAUCGCCUCGGCCACACUCAUGGUCUUCAUGUCUCCCCACUGCUGGAUCGUACCGAUGAUCGAGGAGAACCUCCGCGGCAUCGCCGCAAAGAGCCGCCUGACGACGGCCUUCUCCGGUAGCUUUUCUCCUAGCCCCCGGAUCUCCCCCACUAGGGCAUUCAGUCGACGUGAGAAUGCCGCCACGUUCUCUCCGUCCUGCAUUACAAGACGAUCAAAUCUCCUCAUCAGAGACUGCACCCGCGCCUCCACGGCACGCUCCUCACCGAUCCGCGACACCCGAAUCGCCUCCCACGCCGCCUUUGCAGUCUCGUGUUCCAUGAUCGACAUCAUAACGUUGUCAGGCACCGACUGAGAUAUUGCGGUCAUGGCUCCUUGGUCGGUCUCCUCAUCGACCCCAUCAUCCUCUAUCGCCGUCCAUACUCCAAGAUGACGAAGGAGGAUCUUCAUCUUUCCAGCCCAGAGCUGGUAAUUUGACUCGGUGAGCAUCGGGUACUGGAUCGGCACCUUCGGGCCUCUCCUCCCGCCGCUUCCUGAGCCGCCGUCAUCGCCGGCUCGCCUUGCCGGCGUCGUGUACUUGCCUGCGGUCGUCAGGUCUCCACCCUUCCCCGGGGUCGUUGACAUCGCCCUGAUCGUCGCCGCCAGGUCCCUCGAGAACACUCACCGCCGAUUCGCCUCCAGCUGCUCUGCCCGUGAUCACAAACACGAGGCUCUGAUACCAGAUGUUAGAACUGGACCAGCGAUUCAACUCAAUCUCACCGAAUCUCUCUCUGUGGACUCAUACGAACACCCAGUAGCUAUCCUACUUGAGGAGCAACACAAAACACCCAGGAGGAUUUGUGCCGCGCGCAACAACUGCGGCUUUUUCUGUUUCUCUUCUCUUUAUUCUGCCGGAUAGCCAGGAUCCGUUACAUGCAAAACCAAUCCGCGGUUUACCAGCUCAACUACUGAACGUGCCAUCCCACGAUCCGAGCUAGCCGCGAUCUAAUCUACGUGCAGAAAGACAGCUAACAACCUGACAGAUAAGCUGACCAGGUGUUACAAAAGCAAACGGCACUUAUACAUCGUGCCUGUACAGAAGAUGCAAAAACAGACUAGCAACUUAUUUUGUAGCAAACUGAUAGACCCAGGCGCAUCAAGUUAAGUUCAACAC